rnacentral:rRNA from 1 species
GACGAACGCUGGCGGCGUGCUUAACACAUGCAAGUCGAACGAAGUGGCGAACGGGUGAGUAAUACGUGAGUAACCUGCCCUCCUUUUUGGGAUAAGCCUUGGAAACGGGGUCUAAUACCGAAUAAAGGGGGAUGGGCCCGCGGCCUAUCAGCUUGUUGGUGGGGUGAUGGCCUACCAAGGCGGUGACGGGUAGCCGGCCUGAGAGGGUGACCGGGGACAUUGGAACUGGGAUACGGCCCAGACUGCUACGGGAGGCAGGAGUGGGGGAUAUUGGACGAUAGGCGGAAGCCGGAAGCAGCGGCGCCGCGUGGGGGAUGAAGGCUUUCGGGGUGUAAACCUCUUUCGGGAUCGAAAGGGUAGGUGGAGAAGAAGCGCCGGCUAACUACGUGCCAGCAGCCGCGGUAAUAC